rnacentral:rRNA from 1 species
GAUGAACGCCGGCGGCGUGCCUAAUACAUGCAAGUCGAGCGAACAGAUGAGGAGCUUGCUCCUCUGACGUUAGCGGCGGACGGGUGAGUAACACGUGGAUAACCUACCUAUAAGACUGGGAUAACUUCGGGAAACCGGAGCUAAUACCGGAUAAUAUAUUGAACCGCAUGGUUCAAUAGUGAAAGACGGUUUUGCUGUCACUUAUAGAUGGAUCCGCGCCGCAUUAGCUAGUUGGUAAGGUAACGGCUUACCAAGGCAACGAUGCGUAGCCGACCUGAGAGGGUGAUCGGCCACACUGGAACUGAGACACGGUCCAGACUCCUACGGGAGGCAGCAGUAGGGAAUCUUCCGCAAUGGGCGAAAGCCUGACGGAGCAACGCCGCGUGAGUGAUGAAGGUCUUCGGAUCGUAAAACUCUGUUAUUAGGGAAGAACAAAUGUGUAAGUAACUAUGCACGUCUUGACGGUACCUAAUCAGAAAGCCACGGCUAACUACGAG